rnacentral:lncRNA from 1 species
GCUAAGAUUGCACAACACGGGCUAAGAGGUACAGCUACUGCCUAGGACACACGGACAUAGAAAGCCAUGCUCAGUUAGUUUGACUUGAGGAAAACAUUUCCAGGCUCUGACAUGGUCUUAUGGGGAUGAUGACAUGCUACAAGUUGUACUGUGAACCAGCAACUAGCUGUGUUUUCUGAAUCAAACCAUACAUCUUCAAAAAGCCUUUUGCUGUUAUUUGGAGAGACUGUUUACUUUGUCUAAAGGAGUAAUGCAUAGUUUUCUGCUGAAGCCCUAUCAACAACAUCUACUGUACAUUCUCCUUCUCUUAUCUGCCAAAGGAGUCAAAUUGAUUACCUAAAUAUAAGUCAAGUUACUUUUUGAGCAUUUACAAAGGAGUAAGAACUCAAACUCUGUGUGAAAACAGAUUGCUCCAUCUUUCUCUACCUAGAAUAGAGUGGAAGGCAUGUGGUUGCACGCUUAUGACCAAAUGCAAUAAAAGUUUAACUAGAAAGAAAUAUUGACCCACACAAGGACAGGACAAGCCAAAGUAUUUGAAAAAGCAUUACUGAAAUGUUUGCACUUUGUACAUACACUUUGUAAGUCUUUAAGCAAACAUCCGUGUCCAUUUUUUUCUGCUCCUCAGCAUAACAAAAUUUAAAGCAGAAGCCAGAGGCACAGCCUUACUCCGGGAGCAAAAUCCUCUUAUUUAAUCCUGCAGUGCUUACUACAGCAUGUAUGUAAUAGCACAAGCAUGGAGGAAAAAGAACAUGAGUACAGAGAUUCCGCCACAUUUUCUUGGAGCAAUUGUGUGACAGUCAAAUCAAAGGACCAAAGGCCUAUGGAAGAAAAACACUCAGUUAUGC